rnacentral:rRNA from 1 species
UACGGAGGGGGCUAGCGUUGUUCGGAAUCACUGGGCGUAAAGCGCACGUAGGCGGAUUUGUCAGUCAGGGGUGAAAUCCCGGGGCUCAACCUCGGAACUGCCUUUGAUACAGCAAGUCUUGAGUUCGAGAGAGGUGGGUGGAAUUCCUAGUGUAGAGGUGAAAUUCGUAGAUAUUAGGAAGAACACCGGUGGCGAAGGCGGCCCACUGGCUCGAUACUGACGCUGAGGUGCGAAAGCGUGGGGAGCAAACAGG